rnacentral:ncRNA from 1 species
CCGACAGACGUCCGUCUGCUCGGAUACUGACCUCGGUACCUGAUACGGCCGGGGCAG